GACGAACCGUCCAAACGUUAUUCGGAAUCACUGGGCUUAAAGGGUGCGUAGGCGGCUCGGCAAGUUGGGUGUGAAAGCCCUCGGCUCAACCGAGGAAUUGCGCCCAAAACUGCCGGGCUAGAGGGAGACAGAGGUGAGCGGAACUUAGGGUGGAGCGGUGAAAUGCUUUGAUAUCCUAAGGAACACCGGUAGCGAAAGCGGCUCACUGGGUCUUUGCUGACGCUGAGGCACGAAAGCUAGGGGAGCGAGCGGG
rnacentral:rRNA from 1 species